GUUAGGAAUAUUGGACAAUGGGCGAAAGCCUGAUCCAGCCAUGCCGCGUGAACGAUGAAGGCCUUCGGGUUGUAAAGUUCUUUAGCCGAUGAUUAUAAUGACUGUAGUCGGAAAAUAAGCCCCGGCUAACUUCGUGCCAGCAGCCGCGGUAAUACGAAGGGGGCGAGCGUUAUUCGGAAUCACUGGGCGUAAAGCGUGCGUAGGCGGUUUUGUAAGUUAGGAGUGAAAGCCCAGGGCUCAACCUUGGAAUUGCUCUUAAAACUGCAAGGCUCGAAUCUCGGAGAGGAUAGCGGAAUUUCCAGUGUAGCAGUGAAAUGCGUAGAUAUUGGAAGGAACACCAGUGGCGUAAGCGGCUAUCUGGACGAGUAUUGACGCUGAGGCACGAAAGCGUGGGGAUCGAACAGGAUUAGAAACCCGGGUAGUCC
rnacentral:rRNA from 1 species